UACGUAGGGGGCAAGCGUUGUCCGGAAUCAUUGGGCGUAAAGAGCGCGUAGGCGGCCCUGUAAGUCCGCUGUGAAAGUCAAGGGCUCAACCCUUGAAUGCCGGUGGAUACUGCAGGGCUAGAGUCCGGAAGAGGCGAGUGGAAUUCCUGGUGUAGCGGUGAAAUGCGCAGAUAUCAGGAGGAACACCAACGGCGAAAGCACUCUGCUGGGCCGACACUGACACUGAGAGACGAAAGCUAGGGGAGCGAAUGGG
rnacentral:rRNA from 1 species